rnacentral:rRNA from 1 species
GAUGAACGCUGGCGGCGUGCCUAAUACAUGCAAGUCGAGCGAACGGACGAGAAGCUUGCUUCUCUGAUGUUAGCGGCGGACGGGUGAGUAACACGUGGAUAACCUACCUAUAAGACUGGGAUAACUUCGGGAAACCGGAGCUAAUACCGGAUAAUAUUUUGAACCGCAUGGUUCAAAAGUGAAAGACGGUCUUGCUGUCACUUAUAGAUGGAUCAGCGCUGCAUUAGCUAGUUGGUAAGGUAACGGCUUACCAAGGCAACGAUGCAUAGCCGACCUGAGAGGGUGAUCGGACACACUGGAACUGAGAAACGGUACAGACUCCUACGGGAGGCAGCAGUAGGGAAUCUUCCGCAAUGGGCGAAAGCCUGACGGAGCAAAGCCGCGUGAGUGAUGAAGGUCUUCGGAUCGUAAAACUCUGUUAUUAGGGAAGAACAUAUGUGUAAGUAACUGUGCACAUCUUGACGGUACCUAAUCAGAAAGCCACGGCUAACUACGUG